rnacentral:rRNA from 1 species
ACCACCUGAUCCCAUCUCGAACUCAGAAGUGAAACCGCUUAGCGCCGAUGGUAGUGUGGUGUUUCGCCAUGUGAGAGUAGGUCAUCGUCAGGC